GAUGAACGCUGGCGGCGUGCUUAACACAUGCAAGUUGAACGAAGUGGCGGAUGGGCGAGUAACACGUGAGGAACCUGCCUUUCACAGGGGAAUAACACUGGGAAACCAGUGCUAAUACCGCAUAGUGAAAUAGUGCCUCGCGCCUGGUUAGCUAGUAGGUGAGGUAACAGCCCACCUAGGUGAUGAUCCGUAGCCGUACUGACGGGUGAUCGGCCGCAUGGGGUCUGAGACACUGCCCAGACUCACACGGGAGGCAGCAGUGAGGAAUAUUGGGCAAUGGCGCUAGCCUGACCCAGCAACGCCGCGGGAAGGAAGACGGUCUUCGGAUUGUAAACUUCUUUAGACAGGGACGCGGUACCUGUAGAAUAAGCCACGGCUAACUACGUGCCAGCAGCCGCGGUAAUAC
rnacentral:rRNA from 1 species